rnacentral:rRNA from 1 species
UACGGUAGGGUGCGAGCGUUGUCCGGAUUUAUUGGGCGUAAAGAGCUCGUAGGCGGUUUGUCGCGUCGGCCGUCGGAAAUCUCCACGCUUAACGUGGAGCGUGCGGUCGAUACGGGCAGACUUGGAGUUCGGAUAGGGGGAGACUGGAAUUCCUGGAUGUAGCGGUGAAAUGCGCAGAUAUCAGGAGGAACACCGGUGGCGAAGGCGGGUCUCUGGGCCGAUAACUGACGUGGAGGAGCGAAAGCGUGGGGAGCGAAACAGG